UUAAGUGCUUGCACUUUUUGGACGUCGACCGGCGCACGGGUGAGUAACGCGUAUCCAACCUUCCCAUGACUAAGGGAUAACCUGCCGAAAGGCAGACUAAUACCUUAUGGUCUUCACUGACGGCAUCAGAUGUGAAGUAAAGAUUUAUCGGUUAUGGAUGGGGAUGCGUCUGAUUAGCUUGUUGGCGGGGUAACGGCCCACCAAGGCAACGAUCAGUAGGGGUUCUGAGAGGAAGGUCCCCCACAUUGGAACUGAGACACGGUCCAAACUCCUACGGGAGGCAGCAGUGAGGAAUAUUGGUCAAUGGGCGAGAGCCUGAACCAGCCAAGUAGCGUGCAGGAUGACGGCCCUAUGGGUUGUAAACUGCUUUUGUAUGGGGAUAAAGUCAGUCACGUGUGAUUGUUUGCAGGUACCAUACGAAUAAGGACCGGCUAAUUCCGUGCCAGCAGCCGCGGUAAUACGGAAGGUCCGGGCGUUAUCCGGAUUUAUUGGGUUUAAAGGGAGCGUAGGCUGGAGAUUAAGUGUGUUGUGAAAUGUAGACGCUCAACGUCUGACUUGCAGCGCAUACUGGUUUCCUUGAGUACGCACAACGUUGGCGGAAUUCGUCGUGUAGCGGUGAAAUGCUUAGAUAUGACGAAGAACUCCGAUUGCGAAGGCAGCUGACGGGAGCGCAACUGACGCUGAAGCUCGAAGGUGCGGGUAUCGAACAGGAUUAGAUACCCUGGUAGUCCGCACAGUAAACGAUGGAUGCCCGCUGUUGGUACCUGGU
rnacentral:rRNA from 1 species